UUUCUGUUUGCCUGAAGUGUUCACAGCUGUUAACUGCAAUUUUUUUACAGGAGUAGACCAUGAACUUGAUGUAACAAAAGUAAUUUGUAAGACUGAGAAAAGAAGUAAUAAAACUCCUUCAGUGAUUCUGUAGGACCUAUUGCAUGGAGGUAUAAGUUCUGAUUAGCUGAGGAUGAUAUUUGUUUGUUUUCUUGUUGAGGAUUCAAUAAUAUUUCAAGUUGGAUUCAGCUGAAGGACCCUUCAGAUUCUGUCAUGUAACUGACUACUAAGAGACUUUAACUCUUUCUCUCCCACUCUACCCCGCAUCAUCUGCAGUUGAGCAUUCUUUAGGUCACCCAACUAAGUGGUUCUGGAAGCUAUAAUGAAGUCAUCCAUUACAUAUUCAAUAAAUUCGUCUGCCAUCAGAAGAAAGAGAUAGCAGGUCUUCCUGAGCUGAUCCUGGGAGCAAAGGCACACCAGAUAAUGCAUAUUUGAGUAUUAGGUAUUUCAAAUUCUCUGGUGGGCUACAUCGGUGCUGUUGUUUUGCUUCCCUAAGUGUCAGAUGUUGCUGAGAUAACAAACAAACUGCCAAAUCCUUGUAGAUUAGAGAAUUCUUUUCAUAGACCUUACACUGUUUCUUCCCAUAAUUUUUCCCAGUCUGACAACAUUUGACUGUCAUGUAAAUUCAAUUCUACCAUACCUGAUUUUAUUGCUAAAUUAAACUAUUGUAUCACCUGCAUAAUGUGACUUGGGUUCAGUAAAUCAUGA
ensembl:lncRNA